GAUGCAGAAGAUGGUGGGCUGAGGAGGGCUAGGAAGAGACCAUUGGAGGAAACGCAAGGGCGCUCCAAAUGUCAAUGCUGGGAGGAAGAAAAAGAACGAUGACAAGGGUGCGCGAGGAAAACCAGUGAAGAAAGACUCUAGUAAGGGCGGUAAAGAACAGGCCAAAGGGGCGAUGAAGACAAAAAGGCC